GCAAUAGCUACUUGCAUCAUAGUUAAUAUGAUGCAAGCUCGACUAAGUUGAAUAAAAUUCUAGGUAGAAUUAUGAUAAUGACAUUGUCUGCCUAUGUGUCUUGACCAAAUUACGUGCCAGCAGUCGCGGGAAUACGUAGAAGACUAGUGUUAUUCAUGUUUAAUCGGUUUAAAGGGUACCUAGACGGUGAAUCAAGCUUUGGUGUAAAUAAUAAAAACCAUAUUGUAUAAGACCUAUAUUUGAGAUACAUAUUUACAUAUGAUAAGGACUAAUUUACUAGAGUUACUUACGAGGGGGUAUUAAAGUACUGCUGGUGUAGAGAUGAAAUUCUGUCAUACCUCUUUUCGAAAGAAAAAUCAUGGCACAGGUAUAGGCGAAGGCAUCCCCUUAUGGGCUAACUGACGUUGAGGGACGAAGGCUUCAUGUAACAAACAGGAUUAGAUACCCUAGUAGUUGAAAGCAGAAAAUGAUGAAUGUCAUAGAUUAGAUAUAUAAGUUUAUUCUAUAAAUGAAAGUGUAAGCAUUCCACCUCAUGAGUAAUUUGGCAACAUUGGAAUUGAAAUCAUUAGACCGUUUCUGAAACCAGUAGUGAAGUAUGUUGUUUAAUUUGAUACUCCGCAAAAAACCUUACCACAAUUUGAAUAUUUAGAUCUUUUAUUGUUUUCAUCUUAAUUUUAUUAUGAUUUUAUUUUUAUUUAAAAAAAAAGAAAAAAUUAAGAAUAAGGCAAUAAG
rnacentral:rRNA from 1 species